rnacentral:rRNA from 1 species
GACGAACGCUGGCGGCGUGCUUAACACAUGCAAGUCGAACGGAAAGGCCUCUUUCGGGGGGUACUCGAGUGGCGAACGGGUGAGUAACACGUGAGUAACCUGCCCUUGACUUUGGGAUAACUUCAGGAAACUGGGGCUAAUACCGGAUAGGAGCUCCUGCUGCAUGGUGGGGGUUGGAAAGUUUCGGCGGGUGGGGAUGGACUCGCGGCUUAUCAGCUUGUUGGUGGGGUAGUGGCUUACCAAGGCUUUGCCAGGUAGCCGGCCAGAGAGGGUGACCGGCGACACAGACACCUACGGGAGGCACAAGUGCCGACGGGUGGCAGAUGGGCGGAAGACUGCACAAGGCGUGCAGGCCGGAGGAUGCAGGGCCGUGUGCGGGAUGACGGCCUUCGGGUUGUAGACCGCUUUCGCUCAUAACGAAGCUGUGUGUGACGGUAGUGGAUAAAGAAGCACCGGCUAACUACGUG